rnacentral:rRNA from 1 species
CCUACGGGUGGCAGCAGUGGGGAAUAUUGCACAAUGGGGGAAACCCUGAUGCAGCGACGCCGCGUGAGUGAAGAAGUAUUUCGUUAUGUAAAGCUCUAUCAGCAGGGAAGAAAAUGACGGUACCUGAGUAAGAAGCCCCGGCUAACUACGUGCCAGCAGCCGCGGUAAUACGGAGGGGGCAAGCGUUAUCCGGAUUUACUGGGUGUAAAGGGAGCGUAGACGGCAGUGCAAGUCUGGAGUGAAAGGCGGGGGCUCAACCCCCGGACUGCUCUGGAAACUGUACGGCUGGAGUGCAGGAGAGGUAAGUGGAAUUCCUAGUGUAGCGGUGAAAUGCGUAGAUAUUAGGAGGAACACCAGUGGCGAAGGCGGGUUACUGGACUGUAACUGACGUUGAGGCUCGAAGGCGUGGGGAGCGAACAGGAUUAGAUACCCUAGUAGUC